rnacentral:lncRNA from 1 species
CAGCAACAGAAUUCUUCUCUGUAUAUGUGGCCAACUUCACAGCUAGGGGAUUUGCCGCAUCAAAUCACAGCAACUUGUAAUGAGAGCUGCAGGAGGAUGAAAGGAGGCCUUCUGACCAAGCUUAUGUACCCAACGUCUUCAAUUCCGCUCACUUUGUUGAGACUGCCCGGAUGGUAGCGCUUUCCUUUCUUUGAGCCAAUGUUAUGUGCUUGGGACAGGGCUCGUGUGAUUGGGCGAUUAGGUACAAGGAGUUGGUAUGUAGUUUUCUUCUUACGGCCACCUAUGGCUGCAGUAAUAUUUAGAAGGCUCGAUGGGAUAACAAUUAGACGAUAAAGGUUGCCUCGAGGGAACCCAAAACCUCCAAGUUAGACAAGCUAACAGUAAGGGAUAAUAUCUGAUAUUUCAUUAAUGAAAAGUCACUGAAAUUUAUACAAAC